UCCGGCAUGGUCUAGUGGCUAGGAAAGCUGGCUAUCACCCAGGAGGCCCGGGUUCAAUUCCCGGUGUCGGAA
rnacentral:tRNA from 1 species